rnacentral:tRNA from 1 species
CACUAAGAAGCUAAAUCGGACACAGCGUUAGCCUUUUAAGCUAAAGACUGGUGGGCCCAACACACCCCUAGUGA